CCUACGGGAGGCAGCAGUGGGGAAUAUUGCACAAUGGGCGAAACCCUGAUGCAGCGACGCCGCGUGCGUGAAGAAGUAAUUCGUUAUGUAAAGCUCUAUCAGCAGGGAAGAAAAUGACGGUACGUGAGUAAGAAGCUCCGGCUACCUACGUGCCAGCAGCCGCGGUAAUACGUAGGGGGCACGCGUUAGCCGGAUGUAGUGGGUGGAAAGGGAGCGUAGACGGGAGUGCAAGUCUGGAGUGAAAGGCGGGGGCUCAACCCGCGGACUGCACUGGAAACUGUACGGCUGGAGUGCAGGAGAGGAAAGUGGAAGUCCUAGUGUAGCGGUGAAAUGCGUAGAUAUUAGGAAGAACACCAGUGGCGAAGGCGGCUUACUGGACUGUAACUGACGUUGAGGCUCGAAAGCGUGGGGAGCAAACAGGAUUAGAUACCCCGGUAGUC
rnacentral:rRNA from 1 species